rnacentral:rRNA from 1 species
UACGUAGGGGGCAAGCGUUGUCCGGAAUCAUUGGGCGUAAAGAGCGUGUAGGCGGCCCGAUAAGUCCGCUGUGAAAGUCCAGGGCUCAACCCUGGGAUGCCGGUGGAUACUGUCGGGCUCGAAUCCGGAAGAGGUGAGUGGAAUUCCUGGUGUAGCGGUGAAAUGCGCAGAUAUCAGGAGGAACACCAAUGGCGAAGGCAGCUCACUGGGACGGUAUUGACGCUGAGACGCGAAAGCGUGGGGAGCGAACAGG